rnacentral:rRNA from 1 species
UACGAAGGGGGCUAGCGUUGUUCGGAAUUACUGGGCGUAAAGCGCGUGUAGGCGGGUCUUUAAGUCAGGGGUGAAAUGCCAAGGCUCAACCUUGGAACUGCCUUUGAUACUGGAGACCUUGAGUCCGGGAGAGGUGAGUGGAAUUGCGAGUGUAGAGGUGAAAUUCGUAGAUAUUCGCAAGAACACCCGUGGCUAAGGCGGCUCUCUAGUACGGUACUGACGCUGAGACGCGAAAGCGUGGGGAGCGAACAGG